GUGGAGUAUAAAUACUGCACCAAGGACCUGGCUACAAAAAAUAAAUAUUUAUAUUAUAUUUAUAUAUCUAUAUAUAUAUAUGUGCAGUGAUACUGUGGCUGCUGCUGCUUUUUGAUUGGCUUCGUUAAUAUUUGGCAAAGCGUUGCCACUUACCCACCCGGCGAGGGCGUACCAAAACGUCCUCACUGGUUCUUUCAGUUCAAUGCCUGUUAACUGCGGGUGUAGACUGCUGGUGAUGGUGUCAUUUACUACCGAAGAAGUGUGGAGCAGGGCGGGUGAGUGAGAGUGAGUGAGCGAGUGGGCGGAGGGGCGGCGGGUGAGGGACAAGAAGGUAGGAAAAGUUAAAAAAAAAAAAAAAAGUUGAAACAUCAAGUUAAGAGUGGAGGUGGCUUCUUCCCCGUGAAGCUGGCUGAUGGGUGUCAGAUACCAAGGCCCAUGUGUGUGUUACUGAGGAGAUAGCUGCUGGGGGUCUGGGGGAGGGAAAAGGGCAGAUCUUAGAAAAAAAUCUCAUUAAUAUGCUCUAGUAGCUUAAUGACAUCACUAGCACGAGCACUUGGGGUACCGAGCGGGGUCUUCUAGCUCUGUUGCCCAUCUCAAGACCUAAGAACAAUGAUGAAGUGUAGCCAAAUCUUGCAUAGAAGUGGUUAGAAUUUAUUGCACAUUGGAACAAAAAUAUAUAUAUUUUUUUGUUGUUUUGGAAAAGACCAUUAGCAAUAAAAAAUUUUUUGUCUGUCUGUCUGGUUUGGGGAUGUACAUUGGCUGACAGCAUCUAAGUUCUAAGAAGAAAGAAAAGUAUAAAAAAUAAAAAUAAACAUGACAAUGGCAUAAGCCAGAAGCCAUUUCCUAUUUAAUAAGUUGUUAAUUUGUAUUUACAAAAAGGCAUGCCGAUAAAAUAAAAUGAUAUA
rnacentral:lncRNA from 1 species